AGAAUCAACGCUGGCGGCGUGCCUAACACAUGCAAGUCGAACGCGAAAGGGACUUCGGUCCUGAGUAGAGUGGCGAACGGGUGAGUAACGCGUGGGUGACCUACCCUCGAGUGGGGGAUAACGUCUCGAAAGGGACGCUAAUACCGCAUGACAUUCCGGGUUUGAAGACCUGGAAAUCAAAGCCGGGGACCGCAAGGCCUGGCGCUAGAGGAGGGGCCCGCGUCUGAUUAGCUAGUUGGCGGGUAACGCCCACCAAGGCGACGAUCAGUAGCC
rnacentral:rRNA from 1 species